rnacentral:rRNA from 1 species
CAAUGCUCGCAAGAGUGACUAGUAACUGAAUCAUAAGUAUAAGUGUCACUUAUGAUGUCGUAAGGGAAAAUAAUGAUACUACCUUACUAAUAGUGUCGUCCAAAGUUGGUGCCAGAAGACUCGGUAAGGCCAGAGACGCAAACGUUAAUCAUCUUAAUCAGGCGUAAAGGGUAAGUAGGCUGCUUUAAAAGUAUUUUUUUUUAAUAGCCCAAAUAUAAGUCUCUUUGUCCCUCCGGCUCCCGCCUUUGGCGGGGGGAGGACUAUUGAUUUUAAUAUUUGUAAAAAAAAUAUGAAUUGAAGCUAGAAUCAAGAAGGGGUUGAACCAAAUAAUACCUAGUGUAAGGUUAAAAUUUUUAGAUCCUAGGUGGAAUACUCACGGCGAAAGCUUUUCAACCAAGUAAUGAUUGACGCUAAGGAACGAAGGGGAGGGCAGGAAACAGGAUUAGAUACCCCAGUACUCCUCUCAGUCAACAAUGAGUGGUAGUCAUUAGUUUAUAAACUACAUGAUCAAUGCUAACGCGAGAAACCAUUCCGCCUUGUAACUACGACUGCAAAGUUAAAAACAAAAAAAUUAGUCGGUCUCGAAGCAAACGAAGUGAAGCAUGUA